rnacentral:rRNA from 1 species
GGCGAUCAGAUACCGCCCUAGUUCUAACCGUAAACGAUGCAAACUAGCGAUCCGUUGGUGUUAAAAAUAUGACUCCACGGGCAGCUUCCGGGAAACCAAAGUGUUUCUGUUCCGGGGGAAGUAUGGUUGCAAAGCUGAAACUUAAAGGAAUUGACGGAAGGGCACCACCAGGAGUGGAGCCUGCGGCUUAAUUUGACUCAACGCGGGGAAUCUCACCCGGCCCUGACACUGUAAGGAUUGACAGAUUGAUAGCUCUUUCUUGAUUCGGUGGGUGGUGGUGCAUGGCCGUUCUUAGUUGGUGGAGCGAUUUGUCUGGUUAAUUCCGAUAACGAACGAGACUCUAGCCUACUAACUAGUGAAUAGAUUUACUGGUUUGUUAACUUCUUAGAGGGAUAAGUGGUGUCUAGCCACACGAGAUUGAGCAAUAACAGGUCUGUGAUGCCCUUAGAUGUUCGGGGCUGCACGCGCGCUACACUGAAGAACUGAGCGUGUAUUUAAGCCUUUUCCGGAAGGAAUGGGUAACCCUUUGAAACUUCUUCGUGCUUGGGAUAGGGAAUUGAAAUUAUUUCCCUUUAACGAGGAAUUCCUAGUAAGUGCGGGUCAUUAUCUCGCGUUGAUUACGUCCCUGCCCUUUGUA